AGAAGGAACGGCGGAGAAGUCGCCAACCGCGUUCUCGCUGGAGAAUUCGGAACCGGCUGCGCUCGCCCAAAGGACAUAACGCAUGGAUGCCUUGCCUUAAAACUGCACGUUGCUCGCAGCAAGAGGAACACGGCAGGGAGAGACCCGCGCCGCGCCCCACUUGGAGCUUCCGCCCAAGCACAAGGCUCAGCGAACGGCGCACGAGCCAGGAGCUUGAAAACGAACUCGAGAGCCUACGCCUUAUGAGCCUCCCGUCCCCUAGCAGCCAGAGGCAAUCGGGCUUUUGCCGCAAUUAGCGGGCGUAGCUUGCUGACGGCGGCAGCGGAGCUCUGAAACGCCGGAAGCCCGGCGUCGAAGGAGCACGCUGCAGCCGCAGACACUCCUU
rnacentral:misc_RNA from 1 species